rnacentral:lncRNA from 1 species
AAAACUUUGCAAGAUUUGAAGAAAACAUGAAAAUCACCCAAGGAAGAUCAUGGUCUCACCUCUGGCUGUGAAUGGAAAGAAAAUCUUAUCCAUUCACCGACCUAGGGCCUUUUAUAGGUGGCUGGCCAGACCACCUUCGGCGGCCUAACGUGAAACCAAAACUCAUGCAUGUUUGGUGGCCGAACUUCACCUUCGGCGGCCGAACCUUGCAUUUCUUGCUUGGCUCUUUUCUUUCAAAAACUCAGUUCCUUUUGUACUUAAAACAUUAAAACAUACUAAAAUCCUUUACAAAACCAUAAAUCUUACCCUUUUAGAGGAUUCCGACAUCCUGGAUUACACCGGAAAGUAGAAUGCCGAUGCCAGACUCUAGCCGGGUAUUACAUUCUCCCCCCCUUAAGAACAUUUGUCCCCGAAUGUUCCACAAACAAGGAAACACAUAAAAAGGAGGAAACUAACCUUAAAACAGAUAUGGAUAUUGCUGAAGCAUAGACUCCCGUGUCUUCCAGGUGCACUCUUCUAGAUUGUGGUGGUUCCAUAGGACUUUCACCAUUGGAAUUUUCUUGUCCCUCAGCUUUCUGAUCUGAGUGUCUAGGAUCCGUACUGGCUGCUCUAUAUAGGUGAGAUCUCCAAGGAUCUCUACGUCAGGCUCACUAAGAACCUUACUCGGAUAUGACACGAACUUUCGGAGCAUAGAAACAUGGAAAACCGGGUGAAUUCUCUCUAUAGAAGCAGGUAAAUCCAGCUUGUACGACACAUUUCCGAUCUUCUGCAAGAUCUCAAAGGGUCCAAUGUAUCGUGGGGCUAGCUUACCCUUUUUUCCAAAUCGAACCACUCCUUUCAUUGGAGACACCUUUAGCAAUACCAUAUCACCCUCCUGAAACUCUAACUGCUUCUUGCGGAUAUCUGCAUAGCUUUUCUGCCUGCUCUGAGCAGUCCUGAUUCUCUCUCUGAUCAUGGGCACCACUCUGCUGGUGAUCUCAACCAACUCCGGCCCUGCAAGAGCCACCUCUCCUACUUCUUCCCAGCAAACAGGUGAUCUGCACUUCCUUCCAUACAAAGCUUCAUAAGGGGCCAUCCCUAUGCUAGCAUGAUGGCUGUUAUUGUAGGCAAACUCCACCAAAGGUAGAUGUUGCCUCUAAGAACCGCCAAAGUCUAACACACACAUUCGAAGCAUAUCUUCUAUGGUCUGGAUGGUCCUCUCUGACUGUCCAUCAGUCUGUGGAUGGAAAGCAGUGCUGAAAUCCAACCUUGUACCCAUAGCACUCUGCAGACUCCGCCAAAAUCUGGAGGUGAACUGAGGUCCUCUGUCUGACACUAUAGACACUGGGACUCCAUGCAACCUUACUAUCUCCUCCAAAUAAACCUGUGCUAACUUGUCCACAGAAUAAGUACUCCUCACAGGGAUGAAAUGAGCAGAUUUCGUGAGUCUGUCCACAAUCACCCAUAUGGAGUCUAGUCUGUUGGACGCUGCCGGUAAGCCCACUACAAAAUCCAUAGCUAUGUUCUCCCAUUUCCACUCUGGAAUCGGCAGUGGGUUAAGCAUUUCAGCCGGCUUCUGAUGUUCCAGUUUCACCCUCUGGCAAACCUCACAGGCGGACACAAACUGUGCCACUUCUUUCUUCAUAGCUGGCCACCAAUACACUCUUUUCAGAUCCUGAUACAUCUUGGUGGCUCCAGGGUGAACAUUGUAUCUUGCAUUAUGAGCUUCCCUCAUAAUGUCUCCUUUUAGGCUAAUGUCAUCUGGUACACAAAGUCGAUGCCCAAAGCGGAGGAUCCCUUUGCUGUCAAUCGGAACUCUGCACUGUUGCAUGACUGAACAGUCCUGGCAAUUUUCACUAACUCAGGGUCCUCAUGCUGUUUCUGAACCAUCUGCUCCAGAAACACUGGGGUCACUCUCAUCUGUGCUAUCAAGGCACCUGUACCAGACAACUCUAGCUGUAGCCCUUCGUCGAUAAGCUUAUAAAACUCCAUCACCACUGGUCUUCUCUCUGCUGCUAUGUGGGACAAACUGCCAAGUGAUUUCUGGCUUAGGGCGUCUGCCACAACAUUCGCCUUACCUGGAUGAUACUGGAUUCUGCAAUCAUAGUCACUGAGCACUUCUACCCACCUUCUCUGCCUCAAAUUCAGCUCUUUCUGACUCAAGAUGUACUGUAAACUCUUGUAAUCUGUGAAGAUCUCGCAUUUAACCCCAUAAAGGUAAUGCCUCCACAUCUUGAGUGCAAAGAUAAUUGCUGCCAUUUCUAGGUCAUGGGUGGGGUAAUUCAACUCGUGCUUCUUCAGCUGUCUAGAAGCAUAAGUAAUCACCCUGUCAUUCUGCAUCAGAACACAACCCAAUCCUACUCUGGACGCAUCACAGAACACUGUGAAGUCCUCAUUACUGAUAGGCAGAGCUAAUACCGGUGCUGAUGUUAAUCUUCUCUUUAACUCGCUAAAGCUCACUUCACAUUGGUCCGACCACACGAACCUCUGGUUUUUCUGUGUCAAUUUGGUCAUAGGAGCAGCUAUUUUUUAGAAGUCCUAUACGAACCUCCUGUAGUACCCUGCCAAACCCAGAAAGCUUUUAAUCUCAGUCACUGAGGUGGGUCUAGGCCAGUUAGCUACAGCUUCUAUCUUCUUGGGGUCUACCUCAAUACCUUCUGCUGAUACAACAUGCCCCAAGAAGGAAAUGCUCCUCAACCAAAACUCACUCUUAGAGAACUUGGCAUAUAAACCAUGCUCUCUCAGAGUCUGCAGAAUUGUCCUCAGAUGCUGGGCAUGCUCCUCUGCAUCUCUGGAGUACACUAAGAUAUCAUCGAUGAAGACAAUAACAAAGUGAUCCAGAUACUCGCUGAAAACUCUAUUUAUGACAUCCAUGAAUGCUGCAGGGGCGUUCGUCAACCCGAACGGCAUUACUAAGAACUCAUAAUGCCCAUAUCUGGUCCUGAAAGCUGUCUUUGGCACAUCUGCUUCUCUGACUCUCAACUGAUGAUACCCGGAUCUCAGAUCUAUUUUAGAGAAACACCCUGCUCCAGCUAGCUGGUCAAAUAGAUCGUCGAUCCUAGGCAGGGGAUAUUUAUUCUUGGUAGUGACCUUGUUCAACUACCUGUAGUCGAUACAAAGUUGGAGGGAUCCAUCCUUCUUUCUGACAAACAACACUGGAGCACCCCAAGGUGAGGUACUAGGGCGGAUGAAACCCUUAUCUACCAACUCUUGUAGCUGCUCUUUCAGCUCUUUUAACUCUGCUGGCGCCAUCUUGUAGGGAGGAAUAGAGAUAGGUCUGGUACCAGGCAGUAAUUCUAUUGCAAACUCUAUCUUCCUAUCAGGUGGUAGUCCUGGAAGCUCGUCUGGGAAGACGUCUGGAAACUCUCGGACUACUGGAACUGAGGCUGGUUCCCUAACCGGACUAUCUAGCUCUCUCACAUGAGUUAGAAACCCUUGACAACCCCUCCUAAGCAAACGACGAGCCUGAAGGGCUGAGAUCAAACCUCUAGGUGUCCCCCUCCUGUCUCCUCUGAAGACACACUCUGACCCAUCCUGGUCUCUAAGACUGACUACCUUGUCUCUGCAGUCCAAGGUAGCUCCAUAUGUAGAUAACCAAUCCAUCCCUAGAAUGACAUCAAAAUCUGUCAAAUCUAGAACCACUAGGUCAGCUGGAAGGCAUCUACCCUCUAUGAACACUGGACUGAAGCGACAGACUGACACUGCCACUGAUGGGUCACAUUUGGGUCCACUGACCCAGAGAGGACACUCUAACUCAGAAAUCAUCAGACCCAAUCUCUCAAUGGCUCUCGAAGCAAUAAAAGAGUGAGAAGCACCAGGGUCCAUCAAAGCAUACACAUCAGAACACCCAAUGAUGAGAUUACCUGACACCACUGUGUUCGACGUGUUCGCCUCCUCUUGUGUCACAGUGAAGAUCCGUGCUGGGGCUACCGGACCUUCACCUCGGGAACCUGCCGCUGAAGAAGAGGCUGACCCUCUCCCUCUGCCUCUGCCACUACUUUGAGGUAAGGCUGGAGCUGCUGGCUGUGCUACACUGCCUGAACUCAUCUGUUGGGAUGGUGCGAUAAAGGUCGCCUGAGGACAUUCCCAUGAAAAAUGUCCCUCCUGUCCACACUUAUAACAGGCUGAAGAUCCCAACCGACAAACUCCUCUGUGCUGUCUCCCACAUCUCAUGCACAUUAUACUGCCUGUGCCAGAGCUUGAGCCACUACCCAUUCCCAGACUCGACUUAAUCUUGUUCCAGAACUUGCCUUUCUUAGCUUUAAACUUUUCUCCCUUCCUGUUGCCAGAAGCUGCUGCACUGGGGGUCUUAGAACUCGAAGACUGUGCCAUUUGCUGCUUAACUGUUCCCUGAAUAAUGGCACUCGCCGCCAUCUCAAUGGCUCUACUAUCAUCAGCUCCUAAUUCAUCGGUUAUCAUCUUAACCGUUCUGAGGUACUCAAAUGGAUCAUCUCCUGUAUUGAAUUUGGGAGCAUCCAACUUCAGGUACUCUGUCAUUUUCACUUUGCUUCCCUCAGCUGAGCUAGGUUGCGAUGCUUGGACAACUGGGGCUACUGGUUCUAGUUCUGGUGCAAAAGGUGCUGAACUUGGCUCCGGGUAUGCUGAACUGGGAUGGAAAGGUGUGGGUGGAUACAUGGGAUAUGGUGGGUAAAAAGGAGUAUAAGGCAUGUAAGGCAUGUAGGUAGGAUAUGGGGUAAAGCUAGAGUAAUCCGACGUACCUCCCAUCGGAUACCCUGGGCCCUAUGGAAAGGGUGGAUAAUGGGGUGGAUAACUAAACCCCGAGGCCUGAGCGCCUCCCUGAGACUCUCCCAUACCCUCUUCAGACCUGCCCAUACCCAUGCUUUCCUCUCUUGGCUGAUCCACAUCCAUAGCCUCCCUCACUUCCUCUGACCUUCCUCCUCUAUCUGUUCCUCUUCUGCUCUCGUCAACAGACCUUCUAGGGUCCCUUGACGUACCCUCCCUGCUUGAACUCUGAGACCUUGCCCUUGGCAACGCAGGAGGACGAGCAUCUGAACCCUCAUUCACUGGUGGGACUCCAGUCAAUCGUGCAGAUCGACGAGUUCCUCUCAUCUUAACUUUCUGGAAAACAAUCCAUAACAGCACACAUCAUCAUAUAAACAUCACAUAACAACAAUGCACAUGUAUAACUCAUGGCAUUUCAUCUCAGCAAAUAGACAAGACUCAACAUCCUAUCCUAAUGGACAUGCUUUCCUAUUGUGCUUGACCUACUAUAACCUCUAUGAGCUCGACACUCUCUAUCUAGGUCCGACCAUAUGAACCUAGAGCUCUGAUACCAAUCUGUAACGACCCGAAAAUCGGACCGCUACCGGCGCUAGGAUCCAGGUCGACUUAAGGUCACCGGAACCCGUAGCAAGCCUGCUAUACUCUCUGUGUACCUGUCAAAUCCCAUACAUGAUCAUACAUUUUCUGUAAAAACAUAAAACUGAUGCUCUGAACCAAGGCUCAACUUGUGCAUGCACUAUCUCUGUACUAUAAAAACCCUUACUAGAGCUUGCUCUAGACGGGUUCAACUCAUACUCUGUUAAGCCUGGUUUUUCACAUACUGAUAACAACAUUCACAGCACAUAAAUAGACCAUGUAUACAAAAAGGAUUUACAACAUGGGUCAAGCACAAUACUCUACACUAUACAAUACGAAACCAUUCCUUUACAAUAGUACAUGUCUACUCUAGGCUAUUACAAAACUUCUUUACUAUUCCUGUACCCUGCUGACUUCCCUCUGACUCUGAUCCUGCACGACUGGGGUUAAAGGAGAGGGAUGAGCUAUACUAGCCCAGUGAGUAGAUCAGAUAAAACAUGUUAAUAAAACAUGCUCACAUGGAAUGCAUCACAUCACAAGUAAAUCACCCAUCUCAGACGGACAGAUUCAAAAUUCCCUCUGUUCUGUGCCCGGCCCGCAAGGAGCUACUCAGGACUUCUCUACGCACCCUAUGGUGCUCUGUGCCCGGCCCUCUCAGGGCUCCUCAGGACUUUACUCGGAGGGCUAGUGAAUCCAAAACUAUGUCCGAUCCGUACAAGCAUAGAUAAUGCAAUGCGUCACCUUAGUGUAGUCUAAUGCACUCAUCCUAUUACAUAUCAUGAUGCAUGGAAACAUGCUCAAAGCAGUUAAUUUCUCAAUUUAAAACAUUAAGUUUAGUUCCACUCACCUCUGGCUGACUCUGAGCUGACUCUGGAAACUCUGAAGCAGUGCUCACUGCUGACCUCUUUGGUUCCUCUGGUCCGUUCCUACACAGAUGGACUCAAAUGAGGGACCAAACUAACUCAAGAACAACUCUAGACUACUCCCCAAAACCCCCCUAAAAUAUCCUAAAAGAAUCAAGAAAAACAUGCAGGUUCGGCGGUCGAAAGUCUCUUCCAGAGCCGAACCUCAAGCACUUUCGGCGGCACUUCGGCUGCCGAAAGUCCUCUCCAGAGACGAAAGUCCCUAACCUUCGGCGGCACCUUCGGCGGCCGAAACCCUUCCCCAGAGCCGAAAGUCCAAACUUUCAGGGGCAAGCUUGGGCAAGCUUAGGCAGCCGAAACCACCUCCUUAGCAUGUUCGGUGGCCGAACCUUCUUUCGGCGGCCGAAACUGGAUUCUCCAGUAAGGCAGAAAUGUGUUUUGCUUCAUGCAAACCAACCCAAUCUCCACUCAAACAUGCAAACCACAAUUCCACAACCUGCAUAUACUCAAGUAUAGGCACAAAGGGGUCCAAAACUAACUUAAAACCCCAACAAACAACACAACUACACACAUAAGCAUGCUUUGACCACAAAUCAACCAAAACCUCAACUUACUCUCAAUAUGCAUCUCUACCCAACAACUUCAUAAAACCUUCAUAAAACAUGAAAAGAAGUUCAGGAUCUUCACUUACCUCUUACAAACAAGAAGAUAAACGAUCCCAACGUGGAGAUAUGGAGAAACUCUCCCUCAAAGUCUCCAACUUCAAAACUUUUGGUUGAUUUGCUCAAAAGCUUCAAAACAACAUAAAACCCAUCAAAACUUUGCAAGAUUUGAAGAAAACAUGAAAUCAUGGUCUCACCUCUGGCUGUGAAUGGAAAGAAAAUCUUAUCCAUUCACCGACCUAGGGCCUUUUAUAGGUGGCUGGCCAGACCACCUUCGGCGGCCUAACGUGAAACCAAAACUCAUGCAUGUUCGGCGGCCGAACUUCACCUUCGGCGGCCGAACCUUGCAUUUCUUCCUUGGCUCUUUUCUUUCAAA